rnacentral:rRNA from 1 species
GACGAACGCUGGCGGCGUGCUUAACACAUGCAAGUCGAACGGAAAGGCCCUGCUUUUGUGGGGUGCUCGAGUGGCGAACGGGUGAGUAACACGUGAGUAACCUGCCCUUGACUUUGGGAUAACUUCAGGAAACUGGGGCUAAUACCGGAUAGGAGCUCCUGCUGCAUGGUGGGGGUUGGAAAGUUUCGGCGGUUGGGGAUGGACUCGCGGCUUAUCAGCUUGUUGGUGGGGUAGUGGCUUACCAAGGCUUUGACGGGUAGCCGGCCUGAGAGGGUGACCGGCACAAUGGGACUGGGAAUAGGCCCAGCACACUAAGGGGGGGAGGGGGGGGGAAUAUUUCAAAAUGGGGCGAAGCCGUAUGGAGACAACCCCGGGGGGGGGAGGCGGGCCUUCGGGUUGAAAACCCUUUUCCCUUGUACGAAGGCGGGAGGGCGGGAAAUGGGAAAAAAGCACCGGCUAAAUUCGUG